rnacentral:misc_RNA from 1 species
AAAAAAAAAAGAAAAAAAAGGGAAGUAGUAUGAAAAAUUAGCUAGAAGAAGGUGGAUAGUGGCCGGAACUAGUCCAAAAAGGUGGAGGAAAAUUUGAGCUGUUGCUACUGCUAUUGCUUUGAUUUUGAUGAGUUUGUGGCUGAAAGAAGCGUGAUUGUUGAGCAGAGUAAAACAGGGGAUAUGCAGGGGAAGUAGUGGAAGAAGCUGCAGAAGUUGCUAAUGAAGAAGAUGACGAAGAAGGAAAUGUAUGUGAAUGUAACACUCCCAAUGAUGAAGCUAGUAACAUUUGUUCUAACAAAGAUGAUGAUUGUUGUCCUCCAUGGAAAUCUAUUGGAUUUUGAAGUAAUUGCGAGUAUUCCCAAUAAUCUCUAGCCAUAUCUGAGCUCUGAAAUAACUGUUGUUGCUG